rnacentral:rRNA from 1 species
UACAGAGGUCUCGAGCGUUGUUCGGAUUCAUUGGGCGUAAAGGGUGCGUAGGUGGCUAGGUAAGUCGAUGUGAAAUCCCGGGGCUCAACCCCGGAACUGCAUUCGAUACUGCCUGGCUAGAGUACUGGAGAGGAGAUUGGAAUUUACGGUGUAGCAGUGAAAUGCGUAGAUAUCGUAAGGAAGACCAGUGGCGAAGGCGGAUCUCUGGACAGUUACUGACACUGAGGCACGAAGGCCAGGGGAGCAAACGGG